rnacentral:rRNA from 1 species
CACGCCCUAAACGAUGGAUACUCGACAUACGCGAUACACAGUGUGUGUCUGAGCGAAAGCAUUAAGUAUCCCACCUGGGAAGUACNUACGCGAGGAACCUUACCUGGGCUAGAAUGCAUAAUGACCGCCAGUGAAAGCUGGAAUUGUAGCAAUACACAAUAUGUAAGGUGC